rnacentral:rRNA from 1 species
GAUGAACGCUGGCGGCGUGCCUAAUACAUGCAAGUCGAGCGAACAGAUAAGGAGCUUGCUCCUUUGACGUUAGCGGCGGACGGGUGAGUAACACGUGGGUAACCUACCUAUAAGACUGGAAUAACUCCGGGAAACCGGGGCUAAUGCCGGAUAACAUGUUGAACCGCAUGGUUCUACAGUGAAAGGCGGCUUUGCUGUCACUUAUAGAUGGACCCGCGCCGUAUUAGCUAGUUGGUGAGGUAACGGCUCACCAAGGCAACGAUACGUAGCCGACCUGAGAGGGUGAUCGGCCACACUGGAACUGAGACACGGUCCAGACUCCUACGGGAGGCAGCAGUAGGGAAUCUUCCGCAAUGGGCGAAAGCCUGACGGAGCAACGCCGCGUGAGUGAUGAAGGUCUUCGGAUCGUAAAACUCUGUUAUUAGGGAAGAACAAAUGCGUAAGUAACUGUGCGCGUCUUGACGGUACCUAAUCAGAAAGCCACGGCUAACUACGUA